rnacentral:rRNA from 1 species
UACGGUAGGGUGCGAGCGUUGUCCGGAAUUAUUGGGCGUAAAGGGCUCGUAGGCGGUCUGUCGCGUCGGGAGUGAAAACUCAGGGCUUAACCCUGAGCCUGCUUCCGAUACGGGGCAGACUAGAGGUAUGCAGGGGAGAACGGAAUUCCUGGUGUAGCGGUGGAAUGCGCAGAUAUCAGGAGGAACACCGGUGGCGAAGGCGGUCUCUGGGCAUUACCUGACGCUGAGGAGCGAAAGCGUGGGGAGCGAACAGG